GACGAACGCUGGCGGCGUGCUUAACACAUGCAAGUCGAACGGUAAGGCCCUUCGGGGUACACGAGUGGCGAACGGGUGAGUAACACGUGGGUGAUCUGCCCUGCACUUCGGGAUAAGCCUGGGAAACUGGGUCUAAUACCGGAUAGGACUCCUGGCUUCAUGGUUGGGGGUGGAAAGCUUUUGCGGUGUGGGAUGGGCCCGCGGCCUAUCAGCUUGUUGGUGGGGUAAUGGCCUACCAAGGCGACGACGGGUAGCCGGCCUGAGAGGGUGACCGGUCACACUGGGACUGGGAUACGGCCCAGACUCCUACGGGAGGCAGCAGUGGUGAAUAUUGCACAAUGGGCGCAAGCCUGAUGCAGCGACGCCGCGUGAGGGAUGACGGCCUUCGGGUUGUAAACCUCUUUCAGCUAUGACGAAGCGCAAGUGACGGUAGUAGCAGAAGAAGGACCGGCCAACUACGUGCCAGCAGCCGCGGUAA
rnacentral:rRNA from 1 species